AUUCCAGCUCCAAUAGCGAAUACUAAUUCUGCUGCAGUUAAAAAGCUCGUAGUUGAACUUCUGGUAGGACAGAUCCGGCCUUUGGAUGAAUGUCCAUUGUAUGCUGUGUGUCUUGUCUGGCCAUCCUUUAUGUCUUUUAGGCGUAAUCUUUCACUGUAAAAAAAUUAGGGUGUUUCAAGCAAAAGUUAUUUGGAAUAUAUUAGUAUGGGAUGAUAAGAUAGGCUCUUGAGUGCUACUUUGUUGGUUUAUACACUAGAGAAUGAUUAACAGGGACAGUCAGGGGCACUCGUAUUCCGCCGAGAGAGGUGAAAUUCUCAGACCAGCGGAAGACGAACCACUGCGAAAGCAUUUGCCAGGGAUGUUUUCAUCG
rnacentral:rRNA from 1 species